AGGCGAUGAUGAUGAAAAA
rnacentral:sRNA from 1 species